rnacentral:rRNA from 1 species
UACAGAGGUGGCGAGCGUUAUUCGGAAUUAUUGGGCGUAAAGGGCGCGUAGGCGGCUUGACAAGUCCCGGGUGAAAUCCCUCGGCUCAACCGAGGAACUGCCUUGGAAACUGUCUGGCUUGAGGCCGGGAGAGGGUAGUGGAAUUCCCAGUGUAGCGGUGAAAUGCGUAGAUACUGGGAGGAACACCGGUGGCGAAGGCGGCCACCUGGACGGUCACUGACGCUGAGACGCGAAAGCGUGGGUAGCAAACAGG